rnacentral:rRNA from 1 species
GAUGAACGCUGGCGGCGUGCCUAAUACAUGCAAGUCGAGCGAACGGACGAGGAGCUUGCUCCUCUGACGUUAGCGGCGGACGGGUGAGUAACACGUGGAUAACCUACCUAUAAGACUGGGAUAACUUCGGGAAACCGGAGCUAAUACCGGAUGAUAUAUUGAACCGCAUGGUUCAAUAGUGAAAGACGGUUUUGCUGUCACUUAUAGAUGGAUCCGCGCUGCAUUAGCUAGUUGGUAAGGUAACGGCUUACCAAGGCAACGAUGCGUAGCCGACCUGAGAGGGUGAUCGGCCACACUGGAACUGAGACACGGUCCAGACUCCUACGGGAGGCAGCAGUAGGGAAUCUUCCGCAAUGGGCGAAAGCCUGACGGAGCAACGCCGCGUGAGUGAUGAAGGUCUUCGGAUCGUAAAACUCUGUUAUUAGGGAAGAACAAAUGUGUAAGUAACUGUGCACAUCUUGACGGUACCUAAUCAGAAAGCCACGGCUAACUACGUG